CGUGUGCGUAUAAAGAUAGAUAUGCCCAUGCGAACAUCUAUUAAGAUACGUAUGGAAUUGAUUCAAUAUAUACAUAGAUAUGUUCACACGAAGAUCAACAAAUAUAUAUUUAUAAAACGUUGAUUCAUAUAUAGAUUCACACAUAUCUGACAUUGAUAGGCACACAAUACACACACACACACACGCAUUUGUAUGUGUGUACACAUAUAGAUUCAUCUACACACACGCGUAAUCUUGUACUGAAAUGUACACCUACCCACAGACACAUUAUAAUCAUAUAUUGACAUGCACACACACAUACAUGCUUAGACUAACAUUGACACAUAUAUAACGGUAAUCCAGUUACACACACAUGUAUACACACGCAUUCAUUUACCUACGCGUAUUUAUAAUAUUAUAUUAAUAUGCACACACACACACACAUGCUUAGACUAAUAUUAACACACAUAUAACGGUAAUCCACGCGCACACAUACAUACAUUGUUACAUGCACAUAACACCCAGAGACAUGUACAGACAUCUCUAAUCCUACAUCAAUACACUAACACAUACACAUACAGACAUGUUCAGACUCACAUCCAUACAAAACAAUAAUCCACAUACACAUAUAUAACUCACAUACAUAUAUAACAUCUUUGCCACAUACACACACACAGCUAAUAUUUAUGCCACAUACACGCACAUAUACACCCAUAGACACACACACAUACAUACAGAGACAUGUUCAGACUAACACCAAUACGAACACCCAUAUAAAACAGUAAUCCACAUAUACACACUCACAUCCCUAGCAUCUAUCCAACACACACACGUAUACAUACACACAUAACGAUAGACAUAGUAAAAGAAAAUAAUUCGGAGACGUUGUCUCCGAAUCUUUCUCUCUCUCUUUCUAUCUCUUUCUCCUUCUGUGUCUCUUUCUCUUUUUUCAUUUAUUUUGUGAACAACAACAACAACAUAGGAGGAAUUAUUGUUGUAUUAUUUAAGAGAGAAAGAGGGACAGAAAAAAAAAGGUUGGAUGACAAAUGUCCAUUUAUUUUGACCACAUGACAGUGUUAAGUUGGCCACUCUUACUUUUCUGACCACAUGACAGUGUUAAGUUGACCGUUGUUACCUCUCGCCAUUUAGGGAAAAGACACAAAAAUUAGAUUGCCAGAUCAUAAUCCAUCUAUGUGCACAAUGAGUGGUCCUCCUGGAAGCAUACCUGAUGAUUAUCCUGCAAACAUGCAAAAGAGCAAGAUUGAAAAGCAG